rnacentral:rRNA from 1 species
GCCUACAACAUAGUGUUAAUAAACCAGAUCCCAUUAGAACUUUGCAGUCAAGCACUCUCAGGGUAAAGUAGUACUGGGAUGGGUGAUCGCCUAGGAAGUCCUUGUAAGUUUUAAACC